UACGGAGGGUGCAAGCGUUAUUCGGAUUCACUGGGUUUAAAGGGUGCGUAGGCGGGCUUGUAAGUCAGUGGUGAAAUCUCCGGGCUCAACUCGGAAACUGCCAUUGAUACUAAUAAGUCUUGAAUUAUCUGGAGGUAAGCGGAAUAUGUCAUGUAGCGGUGAAAUGCUUAGAUAUGACAUAGAACACCCAUUGCGAAGGCAGCUUACUACGGGUAUAUUGACGCUGAGGCACGAAAGCGUGGGGAGCAAACAGG
rnacentral:rRNA from 1 species